GACGAACGCUGGCGGCGUGCUUAACACAUGCAAGUCGAACGGAAAGGCCCUGCUUUUGUGGGGUGCUCGAGUGGCGAACGGGUGAGUAACACGUGAGUAACCUGCCCCUGACUUUGGGAUAACUUCAGGAAACUGGGGCUAAUACCGGAUAUGAGCUCCUGCUGCAUGGUGGGGGUUGGAAAGUUUCGGCGGUUGGGGAUGGACUCGCGGCUUAUCAGCUUGUUGGUGGGGUAGUGGCUUACCAAGGCUUUGACGGGUAGCCGGCCUGAGAGGGUGACCGGCCACAUUGGGACUGAGAUACGGCCCAGACUCCUACGGGAGGCAGCAGUGGGGAAUAUUGCACAAUGGGCGGAAGCCUGAUGCAGCAACGCCGCGUGCGGGAUGACGGCCUUCGGGUUGUAAACCGCUUUCGCCUGUGACGAAGCGUGAGUGACGGUAAUGGGUAAAGAAGCACCGGCUAACUACGUG
rnacentral:rRNA from 1 species